GACGAACGCUGGCGGCGUGCUUAACACAUGCAAGUCGAACGGAAAGGCCCUGCUUUUGUGGGGUGCUCGAGUGGCGAACGGGUGAGUAACACGUGAGUAACCUGCCCUGGACUUUGUGAUAACUUCAGGAAACUGGGGCUAAUACCUGAUAGGAGCUCCUGCUGCAUGGUGGGGGUUGGAAAGUUUCGGCGGUUGGGGAUGGACUCGCGGCUUAUCAGCUUGUUGGUGGGGUAGUGGCUUACCAAGGCUUUGACGGGUAGCCGGCCUGAGAGGGUGAACGGCCACAUUGGGACUGAGAUACGGACCAGACUCCUACGGGAGGCAGCAGUGGGGAAUAUUGCACAAUGGGCGGAAGCGUGAUGCAGCAACGUCGCGAGCGGGAUGACGGCCUUCGGGUUGUAAACCGCUUUAGCCUGUGACGAAGCGUGAGUGACGGUAAUGGGUAAAGAAGCACCGGCUAACUACGUG
rnacentral:rRNA from 1 species